AGCAGCCGCGGUAAUUCCAGCUCCAAUAGCGUAUAUUAAAGUUGUUGCAGUUAAAAAGCUCGUAGUUGAAUUUCGGGGUCAGUAGAUUGGUCGUGCCACUGGUAUGCACUGGUCUUACUGGCUCCUCCUUCCUGAUGAACCGUAAUGCCAUUAAUUUGGUGUUGCGGGGAGACUGGACUGUUACUUUGAAAAAAUUAGAGUGUUUAAAGCAGGCUAACGCUUGAAUACAUUAGCAUGGAAUAAUGAAAUAGGACGUUCGAUCUUAUUUUGUUGGUUUCUAAGAUUGACGUAAUGAUUAAUAGGGAUAGUUGGGGGCAUUAGUAUUCAAUUGUCAGAGGUGAAAUUCUUGGAUUUAUUGAAGACUAACUACUGCGAAAGCAUUUGCCAAGGAUGUUUUCAUUAAUCAAGAACGAAAGUUAGGGGAUCGAAGACGAUCAGAUACCGUCGUAGUCUUAACCAUAAACUAUGCCGACUAGGGAUCGGAUGAUGUUAAUUUUUAAUGACUCAUUCGGCGCCUUAA
rnacentral:rRNA from 1 species